AAAAUACUUCAUUCAAGCGGCUUAUAAAAAAAAUCCUAAUCCUUCACUGAAAUUGUCACUGCCACUGUAACCACUACAAGACUUCAUCACCUUCAUUGCCAUUACAUCUGCAAAACUCUGUCACUAUCAAUGUGAAUCAUUGUAACCUUCACAUCAAGAAAAUCACUUCAGUUCUUAAAAAAAAAAAGCAAAUCUUAACACUCCCCUCUAGAAAAUCGUCAUAGCUGCUACAAUGACCAUUGUCACUGCUACAACCCUAACCUUAAGCACACCUUACUGUUGUUUCAAUCAAGGACACCGCAGGUAAAAUCUGAAACACUCCCCUUGUUUGCCCAUCGAAUUGGAAAUGACUACAUGAGACUAAAUCUUUUUCAUGAUUGUUUUCUUUUGGGUUUAUUGUUGUUAGAAGGCAAAAUUAACACUGUUGUUGUGACUCUUUGGUGCUUCUAACAUAGGUUUAUGCUAUCUAUAUGGAAGAAGUAUGCCAUCCGGACACUUGUUAAACUGUCAGUUUAUAUAAUUUUUCCUAAAAUAGCAUAAGAAUGGCUAAAAUCCAUUUGGUUUGCUUUCAAGCUAUAUGAAUGUUUAAUCCUUGAAUUUUUUUAUCUUGUUUAAUGCAUUUUUAAUAUCUCAAUGCAAUGAGAUAUUCUUUGUAAUUUCAAUUAGGUGAAUAUGGAAAGCAACUUUCUGAAGAACGUGCAAAAAUUGAAAGCAUCUUUCAUACAUUAUUAGUAAGAAAUUUGGGUUAUGUAUAUAAAAAUUGGUUACAAAAUGAAAAUUGAUUUAUUAAUAUUGGUAUUUUUGUAGUUUAAGUGUCCAAUGAAAACAAAUUCAGAAGGAACAAAAAUUUCAAGUUAUUUGAGAAUUUGAGAAGAGUUUAUUAGUUGUUUAGGGUUGAUGUUUACAUACAACCAUUCAUCUUAUUAUUGUUGGUAUUCUUUUGAAUUAGGGUAUCCGGGAGUUAGCCUCAAAGUGGGUAGAACUCCUGGCACUAGAGAAGGAGCAUUUUGAAUAAAUUACAACAAAACAAGUAGAAAAUGGAAAAAAAUAAAAAAGAAUUGGAAAUUGAAUAGGGUGGAAAGCAUCAGGUAUAAUUUAAUUUAUAGUUAUACUAAUAACAUUAUAAUUUUUGGUGUAGAGCUUUCUUACCCAGUGUCCUCUAUGCAUAUUAAAGUUGUUAAAUGACUUGAAGGAUAAGGAUAUAGAAAAUAUCCUUCAGAUCUUGGUAUGAGAUUGUUGAAGGGGCUGAAUCCUAGAUCAAUAAGGAGAGAGGUCGUAGCAUUCUUGACUGAGAGGUUCAAUCCAAAAAGUUGCCAUAUGAUAGUCAAGUAGUCAACUAUCUACUAUUCCUUAUUGAGUCUUAAAGAUGAAGGUGUCGAUGUUUCCUCAGUCUUGAAGAGGAAAUAUGACCUACAAUUGAGGGAGAAAUAUCUACUUAUUAAGAUGGCAAAAUUGUUAGACUAUUGAGAUGCUGGAUUCAAUGAUUUAAAAGUAGCAUUGCUUCCAUUCAUCAUCAAACUACUCCUUUGUCCAUCUAGUCUUCCUUGUCCCUCCGAAAAUUACUGGACUACCUCUAUGAUGAAGGCCUAAGAAUAAGCUAAAUUGGGCCAAACAUACUCAUGUACUCAUCGAAGGAUUUAGGAAAUAUGUUAAGGGACAAAAUAUUGGUAAAAAAUUCGGCUACAUAAGCGAAUAAAUUGGAUUGUUGGAGGUAAAAAUUGGUUGUUUGUUUGAUUCUAAUGUUUUUGUCUUAAUUGCAAAUUUGUUUUUAUGACUACUUGGCUAGAGUGGAAAGCCAUAAAUUUGGCCGCUCUGGAUUAGACCUGUCCAUGGGUUGGGCGGCUCGCCCGAAAUAUGGGAGGGUUCGGGUAAAAAUAUAGGCCCGAAAUAUGGGCUUAGGCAAAAAAAUGAGGCCCGUUUAAAAAAUGGGCCGGGCUCGGGCCCAACUUUUUGGCCCGAGCCCGGCCCGGCCCGAAUAUAAUAAAUAUAUAUUUUUUAAUUUUAUUUUUUAUUUUUAAAAUACUUUAAAAAUAUUUUUAUUUUUUUAUUUUUAAAAUAUUUUUUUGUGUUUAUUAAAAAUCGGGCUGGGCCGGGCCGGGCCGGGCUUAUUAUUUUUUCCCGGGCUAGGCCUAGGCAAAAUUUUAGGCCCAUAUUUUGGGCCGGGCCGGGCCCGGGCCAAAAUUUUUUCCGAGCCCGGCCCGAACCCAGCCCGGCCCAUGGACAGGUCUACUCUAGAUUCCCUCUCGAAUUAGUGUUUAGGGGAAUGAUAACGUCAAGAAGUGAAGGCUUUCCGAAAAUCCUACAGUUAAAGAGGGGGUAGUUUCAUUACAAUUAGUAAAUAAUACUUAGUUUUGUUAUGAAAUAUGAUGCAACACAAAACAAUCUUACAAGUUGCUAUUUCCAUAAUGGAAAUUGUCCCUCAAUCGAGGCUUAUUGAACAAUCUCUAAUGACUGAUUUUGUUGCUAAAUGGUUGGCAAAUAUCUAUCAUGGUUGGCAAAUAUCUAUCAUUACAUUAUCGAUAUUCCAAAUCUUAUUACAUGGACUUUAAGGGAUACAUGUGGUUGUUUUUUUCCUUUUAGUCAUAAAAAAAGGAAUCAUUUCGCUUGAUUUACCUAAAAUUAAAUGAUGUUUCAUUAGAGUAGAAAAAGGAGUUCGUGGAAGAGGUGAAUACAGUGUGCUUGAUUGAAUCCUACCUUGCUAAAGCCCCAAACACGUUCAUAACUCCUUCCACUAUGGUUAAUGUGUCAGAUUCUGCUUACUAUGCCCCAUGAAAAUGGAAGGUAUGAAGUAUAAUUAUAGAAUGAGUUUUAGUUUUUAUAAUCAUAUUAUAUUUUAUUCACAUGUGAUAAUAUAUAAUUAUAUAUUAUAGGUUUUGGUCUCUUCAACAAAUGCGUCAAUCAUGUAUCUAAUAAAAACCUGAUCAAGAAGUCGUGUUCAAUAAUGAAUUUUUCUUUACCAUCUCGUUUGUGGUAUGUGAUAUAAUACGAUUGGCGAAAUAAUAAUUCCCUGUUAUUUGAAAACAAUAAAUUGUAGUUGCUUUUGGUUAUUUCAUUUGGACUAGUCAUAUGUGUUUUUUUGUAAUUGAAUUGGAAUGACAUGUAUGCUGUUAUGUAAUUGGCUUAGAUAAUUUGUAAUUGAACUUUGUAAUUUUUAUUUGCGGUUUAAUUAUUUAUUUACCUACCAUUAUCAACUAACAUCAAUCCCUAUCAUCAUGUUGCUUUUCUAUUAACUUGUUUUUGUAGAUGCCUCUACCACCAGUCAAGAUUCCACAUGAACUUGGCAAAGUAGAAACCUCCAUUUCCGAGUACAUUUGCGAUAAUGAUGUUAAUUAUAUAGAGUAAGCACUUGUUAAAUAUUCUUUAUCAUUAAUCAUAUACAUGCAUUGUAUGAAUCUAAAGUCUGUACUUGUAAAGUUGUAGUGAAACAAUAUUAAUGUCGGGAAUGUUUCGGCUUGUAUUUAGGAGUUCUAUGCAAUACAACCUAGGGUGUAGAUUGGUGACAACAUAACUUUGGUUUUUAUUACUUCAAUGUUAAUUUUUUUUAAUAUUAUUC
rnacentral:lncRNA from 1 species